ACACGUUCUGCGCUGUUCCCGUACGGAGGGGCGGUGCAUGGCGAAUAAAAGUGCCCGCCCCGUGCCGCUUCGGCUACCCCAGCUGUAAUGAGACGCGUGCAGCGAGCUGCCCUACAUCGAGCCUUGUGUUUUACGCUGUGGCCUUGGCAUGACGUCGACCGUGACAGCCGUGAACCAGACGCAGAGUCUGGCGGCGAUUCGAAACUUUGUGCGCGCCUCCGUUUCGUGCAUCACGUAUGCAAGGGGGCUCUGCAGCGACAAUGCCUAUGAGCAGCGCCCGUUUCUUGGUCUUCCACUCCGCCAGCUCAUACCAUCAACCACCGAGUCCGUCACAAUCUCGGAGUGGAUCGAGAAGGGCGCCUUUGACGCCCUAAACCGCAACUAUCUAAAAGAGAUGUCUCUGUGCGUAUACGACGCGGCGUGCCGCGAGCUGCUGGAGAGCUACUGCUUCGGCUUCAACUACACCGGCGACGGAGAGCGGGCGCAGAUGACGCUCAACGCCGCACAAACCAUAGCAGAUGGUGCCAACACGACGGCAGUCUCGCAAAGUAGCGGCGGCGCUGUCGGCAUACCCACAUACCGCAAGCGGCGGUGCUCGAAGCAAGAGAUUCAGCACCUACUCACCUCAAUCCUGGAGCGGCUGAUGGAUGUGGUGGAGAGUCUGCCGCCGAUGCUCUCUGAGCGUGUUCUCACGAUGCGCCUCACCUACUAUGACGCGGUGACCCCCGCUUCCUACGAGCCUCCCUGUUUUGCGCCAGCCAGCGAGCAUAUGGCCCGACUUUACCAGGACGAGGUCAAACACCAUGUGCAUAUCGGGUCCGUGGACACUAGCCACCACCUCUUCUCCGUCGCCAUACGGCACCCGCUACUGCAGCAGAUUCAUAGGCAGAUGACAGGCAGGACGACGUCGGCAGUGGCAACAGCGACAGGAAGAGUCCCCCUUGCCGUGGACGAAAGCGCUGCGGUCUCGAUGCCGUCUGACCCACUCCGCUCUGGAUGGGAGAGCAGCUUCUCCUCAGACCCGGCGGUAUCGAGCGCCCUGGCACCAGCUGGUGCCACAGUCACGCACGGCGUGGUCGCAAACCACGUCUCAUGUGGACGUCUCCUUUGCGCCGAUGGAGAGGGCGCCGCGUUUGAUGCGGAGAGUGCUGGGGAAGAGAAUGCUGCUUGCUCCUCGCUCGGCGAGGUGAGCCGGGGCAGUGCUGGCAGAGCUCGCACCGGCGAGGCGCUGCGACCUUGCGAGGUGGCGGCGCUUGACGGCGUCCACCGCUUAAUGGAGAAAAGCACGUCCGGCGGCGAGCGGCGCUUGCUAAGGCCGGCGGAGCUGACUUACCUGCUGUUUGCCGCGUUCGUCUUUACAAAAGCGCCGAGCGCGCGUGGUGGCCGUGGAGAAUUGAAGGCUGACGAGGUAGAGGCCUAUCGUGUGCUACGCUGCCCCUUCGAUGUUUCUGCCGAGGCAGUUCUGCUCGUCCUGCAGCGGCUGAGCAGGGAAGAUUUCCUGCAGCCCUGCAACGCCCGCGGUGCACCGACUCCGAAGAAGCCGAGGACGCAGGACGGGAGCACACCCACCCCCGCAAUCAGAGAGUGGCUUGUGCCAGACCCACCCGCAUCGCUUCUCCAGCAACUCAUGCAGGUCGAUGCGUUGACGGAGCUGCUGACGCAUGAGUCGCACCUCGUCCUGCAGGAGCUCUCUGUGUAUCUGACGCGAGAGGAGUGGCGAAGGGCUCCUCGGGCGAUGACUGCCAAAAGGCGACUUCGGGCCGCAUAAGCACCACAGGUGGGAGUGGAAAGCGGCGGUCGUCCCCGCUGAGGACUCUCAUCGCGCGCCGUGACGCGUGUGAUGGCACCGUUUAGAUGUCGCGGCCCUCUGCUGUCUCAAGGUGCGCUCUGCUAACGUUUUAAAUUUGUUUGUUUGUUUGCUCGAUUGCUGUUCUACUUCUGCUGUUCACGUGCCACUGC
rnacentral:misc_RNA from 1 species